GGUAAUACGGAGGGUGCAAGCGUUAAUCGGAAUUACUGGGCGUAAAGCGCACGCAGGCGGUCUGUCAAGUCGGAUGUGAAAUCCCCGGGCUCAACCUGGGAACUGCAUCCGAAACUGGCAGGCUAGAGUCUUGUAGAGGGGGGUAGAAUUCCAGGUGUAGCGGUGAAAUGCGUAGAGAUCUGGAGGAAUACCGGUGGCGAAGGCGGCCCCCUGGACAAAGACUGACGCUCAGGUGCGAAAGCGUGGGGAGCAAACAGGAUUA
rnacentral:rRNA from 1 species